rnacentral:rRNA from 1 species
UGCCAGCAGCCGCGGUAAUACGGAGGGAGCUAGCGUUGUUCGGAAUUACUGGGCGUAAAGCGUGCGUAGGCGGAUCGACAAGUUGGGGGUGAAAUCCCGGGGCUUAACCCCGGAACUGCCCUCAAAACUGUCGAUCUAGAGACCGGGAGAGGAAAGUGGAAUUCCGAGUGUAGGGGUGAAAUCCGUAGAUAUUCGGAGGAACACCAGUGGCGAAGGCGGCUUUCUGGACCGAUACUGACGCUGAGACGCGAAAGCGUGGGGAGCGAACAGGAUUAGAUA